ACUGUAGUAGGUGGGUUAGAGUUACCUAUACAUAUUCUUUCUUUCUUUUUUUUUUUAUAUUACAAUUACAAUUUGUAUUUUUGCUCAAUCACAUACAUGUUAAUUUAAAGAGAUAAUUAGUAUAUGAUUGAAUUUCAAAGAAAUCAACAGAUGAAAAGUAAAAGGAUGCUUACACUCCAAGGCUCAUAGAGGCAACGGGAGAUCUUGUGAGAAAUAAUU
rnacentral:lncRNA from 1 species